AAGACAUGAAAGAUAGUAAAAGGUCAGGUUAAGACAAACAGAUAAGAAAAUUAACCGCUCCUUGGCUAAAAGAUUCGAGAGAAUGAAAUACUUGCUGCUUUACUUUUUUAUAGCGUCAUUUGUUGUGUUAGCGAAAGGGUUUUUCCUCAAGGACACAUUGUGUGCUAACCUUGUGAACUGUUUCGUAAGUCCAUGUUUGGGUAAAACAUGUCCUGGAAACCCGGAUGCUUUGUGCAGGGCAAACUAUUGUGGAGGAUGUAAUCACAACUUCUAUGUCGGAGACCAUCAGGUAAUCUGUUGAGUUCAUGAUGAGAAACCAAAUUACAAGAAAGAAACUGAUGAGCAGAAUGAUGAAAGUUAACUUUAAUAAAUCAUUUAAAUGUG